GUAAACACUGGUGGUUAACAGCAGACUACAGUGUUAACCAUAUAACGACAAAUAUGGCCAAGUCUAAGAACCACACAAACCACAACCAGA